CCGCGCCCGGCCCCGCCCCUCUUCCCUCCUAGGCGCUCAGCCCGGGCCGGUUUCUAUUGUAGCGUUUUGCAGCCACCGGUUCAACUAUCUGCUUCACCAACCCAAGUGUUUUGCAUACAUGUAUGUACAUCAUAUGCCUGCUGUGCCAGUGAACAUCAGAAGAGAGGAUGAGAUCUCCUGGAGCUGGAAAAUAGUCAUGAGCUACCAUGUGUGUGCUGGGCACUAAAUCAGAAUCCCCUGAAGCCGGGAAGUACUUGCUGUGCAAGCUCGAAAACUCAAGUUCAAUUCCCGAAACUCAUUAAAAGAACAGGCGUGGUGGUGUGCGCAUGUAAUCCCAGUGUUGGGAGGUGGAAACAAGCCAGUCUAACCAAUCAGUGAGAUACGUCUACUCCUGGCAGCACCAAUCUACUUCAAAGAAGAUGAUAGGCACCAAAG